rnacentral:rRNA from 1 species
UACGUAGGGUGCAGGCGUUAAUCGGAAUUACUGGGCGUAAAGCGUGCGCAGGCGGUUUGCUAAGACAGGUGUGAAAUCCCCGGGCUUAACCUGGGAACUGCGCUUGUAACUGGCAAGCUAGAGUGUGGCAGAGGGGGGUGGAAUUCCUGGUGUAGCGGUGGAAUGCGCAGAUAUCAGGAGGAACACCAAUGGCGAAGGCAGCUCGCUGGGACGGUACUGACGCUGAGGCGCGAAAGCGUGGGGAGCAAACAGG